GAACUGGCUACUGGCUGUCACCCUUUGAAGGCCUUCUUCAUUGAGCUUGUUCCAGUGUGUGUCUACUACAGGUUUAGCUUUUUUCUCCUUCUCCUUCUCUCAAUCCUAAUUUUCUCCUCUAUCUAACACACUCAAUCCUACCCCAUUCUUUCUUUCUUUCCCUUUAGAAAUUGAUAACAUGUAAAAUCAGAGAAAAGGCAAAAGCUACUAAAAUCUUAAUUGCCUCUAAAUCUUUUGAGGAAAUCCACAAAGUUCCUCCCAAUGGCUUCUUUCACACCUCUCUUCUUCUUCCUCAUCAACCUCUCCUUGCUUCUCGCCCUCUCUUCCGCUGCGGAUCCAUUCGUUUCCUACCAAUUUGAGGUCUCUUACAUCACCGCCUCCCCUCUCGGAGUUCCUCAGCAGGUCAUUGCUAUCAACAACAAGUUUCCAGGGCCUACUAUCAAUGUAACCACAAACAACAACGUUGUUGUCAAUGUUCGGAACAAGUUGGACGAGAGCCUCCUCAUUCAUUGGUCUGGAAUUCAGCAAAGGAGGAGUUCGUGGCAGGAUGGUGUUCUUGGCACAAACUGUCCCAUUCCUGCUAAGUGGAACUGGACUUACCAGUUUCAGGUGAAGGAUCAGAUUGGAAGCUUUUUCUACUUCCCUUCUCUUCAUUUUCAGAGAGCUGCUGGUGGAUUUGGGGGUUUCAUCAUAAACAACCGACCCAUCAUUCCUAUUCCUUUUGAUACCCCACAUGGGGACAUUGUCGUUUUCAUUGGAGAUUGGUACACCCGCAAUCAUACGGAUUUGAGGAAGGCCCUUGAUGACGGGAAAGAUCUUGGCAUGCCAGAUGGUGUUCUCAUCAACGGAAAAGGUCCUUACCGAUAUAACGAUACCCUUGUUCCUGAAGGCAUUGAUUAUGAAACAAUUGAAGUCCACCCCGGAAAAACUUACCGACUUCGUGUACAUAAUGUUGGAGUAUCUACCAGUCUCAAUUUCAGGAUCCAGAGUCAUAACUUACUUCUAGCAGAGACAGAGGGGUCUUACACAGUGCAACAGAACUACACUAGCUUAGAUAUUCAUGUUGGACAAUCUUAUUCUUUCCUUGUAACCAUGGACCAGAAUGCUAGUACAGAUUACUACAUUGUAGCAAGUGCCAGGUUUGUGAAUGAAUCACGUUGGCAAAAAGUUACUGGAGUUGGUAUCUUGCGCUAUACAAAUUCCAAGGGGAAGGCACGUGGUCCUCUCCCACCGGCUCCUGAUGAUCAAUUUGACAAAACUUACUCAAUGAACCAAGCAAGAUCCAUCAGAUGGAAUGUAUCAGCAAGUGGUGCUCGUCCUAACCCACAAGGGUCUUUUAGAUAUGGUUCCAUCAACGUGACUGAGAUUUAUGUAUUAAAAAAUAAGCCACCAGAGAAAAUCAAUGGGAAGCGGCGAGCAACACUCAGUGGAAUCUCAUUUGUCAAUCCUUCCACUCCAAUCAGGCUUGCUGACCAGUACAAGUUAAAGGGUGUAUACAAGCCUGAUUUCCCCACCAAGCCUCUUACCGGAUCACCUCGUGCAGCAACAUCAGUCAUUAAUGGAUCUUAUAGAGGAUUUAUGGAAGUUAUACUUCAGAACAAUGAUACCAAGAUGCAUACCUAUCACAUGAGUGGAUAUGCAUUUUUUGUAGUCGGGAUGGAUUAUGGUGAUUGGUCUGAUAAUAGCAGGGGCACAUAUAACAAGUGGGAUGGAAUAGCUCGCACUACAACACAGGUUUAUCCUGGAGCAUGGACAGCAAUUUUGGUUUCCCUGGACAACGUAGGAGUGUGGAAUCUCAGAACAGAAAACCUUGAUUCAUGGUAUCUUGGUCAAGAAACAUAUGUCAGGGUUGUCAACCCAGAGGUUACUAACAAGACUGAACUGCCCAUUCCAGACAAUGCCCUUUUCUGUGGUGCCCUUAGUAAAUUGCAGAAGCCUCAAGAUAUUUCUUCAGAUGCACCAUCAAUCAGUGGGAAUAGCCUGAAGCUGUUCUUCACCUGGCUGAUUGUGUGUGCCUGGAUCCACAUUUUCCAGUGAAAACACUUUCUGGGUCAUCCUCUCUUAGAUGCUUGCCAAGUGGACUUGUGGCUUGUUGGUGAGCCUAUGCAAGGUCAAAGAUGCAUGGACCACCCAGCCGAAGAUGCUUCUCUAGCUGGCUUAUAGAUAUGAUCUAGCUAGUCUAUCUUUAAAACAAAAAAAAAGGGGGAAAUAAAUAGACAUGACCAAACCAAACCGAACAUUUUUCUUCUCUCUUGUACGUUUGCAUGUACAAAUUUAGCUGGAUUUGGCUUAUUGAAAUCAUUCUACA